rnacentral:rRNA from 1 species
UUCUGGUUGAUCCUGCCGGAGGCUACCGCUAUUGGAGUUCGAUUAAGCCAUGCGAGUCGAGAGUCUUAGGGACUCGGCGUACCGCUCAGUAACACGUGGGUAACCUGCCCUAUGCUGGGGAAUAACCUCGGGAAACUGAGAAUAAUACCCCAUAGUUCACCACGCCUGGAACGGUGGGUGGAUGAAAGCUCCGGCGGCAUAGGAUGGGCCUGCGACGUAUCAGGUUGUAGGGGGUGUAACGUACCCUCUAGCCAUCAACGCGUACGGGUGUUGGGAGACAUAGCCCGGAGAUGGAUUCUGAGACACGAAUCCAGACCCUACGGGGUGCAGCAGGCGCGAAAACUUGGCAAUGCGAGCAAUCGUGACCAGGGAACUCCAAGUGGCUGGGGUAAUACCCAGUUUUUUCUUGACUCUUCAAAGGUCUUGGAAUAAGGGGUGGGUAAGGACGGUGCCAGCCGCCGCGGUAAUACCGGCGCCUCAAGUGGUAGUCGCUUUUAUUGGGCCUAAAACGUCCGUAGCCGGUCUGGUGCAUUCGUGGGUAAAUCAACCCGCUCAACGGGUUGAAUUCUGCGAGCACGGCCAGACUUGGGACCGGGAGAGGUGUGGGGUACUCUCAGGGUAGGGGUAAAAUCCUGUCAUCCUGAGAGGACCACCUGUU